rnacentral:rRNA from 1 species
GCCAAAUACAUGCAAGUCGAACGAACUCUGGUAUUGAUUGGUGCUUGCAUCAUGAUUUACAUUUGAGUGAGUGGCGAACUGGUGAGUAACACGUGGGAAACCUGCCCAGAAGCGGGGGAUAACACCUGGAAACAGAUGCUAAUACCGCAUAACAACUUGGACCGCAUGGUCCGAGUUUGAAAGAUGGCUUCGGCUAUCACUUUUGGAUGGUCCCGCGGCGUAUUAGCUAGAUGGUGGGGUAACGGCUCACCAUGGCAAUGAUACGUAGCCGACCUGAGAGGGUAAUCGGCCACAUUGGGACUGAGACACGGCCCAAACUCCUACGGGAGGCAGCAGUAGGGAAUCUUCCACAAUGGACGAAAGUCUGAUGGAGCAACGCCGCGUGAGUGAAGAAGGGUUUCGGCUCGUAAAACUCUGUUGUUAAAGAAGAACAUAUCUGAGAGUAACUGUUCAGGUAUUGACGGUAUUUAACCAGAAAGCCACGGCUAACUACGUGCCAGCAGCCGCGGUAAUACGUAGGUGGCAAGCGUUGUCCGGAUUUAUUGGGCGUAAAGCGAGCGCAGGCGGUUUUUUAAGUCUGAUGUGAAAGCCUUCGGCUCAACCGAAGAAGUGCAUCGGAAACUGGGAAACUUGAGUGCAGAAGAGGAAAGUGGAACUCCAUGUGUAGCGGUGAAAUGCGUAGAUAUAUGGAAGAACACCAGUGGCGAAGGCGGCUGUCUGGUCUGUAACUGACGCUGAGGCUCGAAAGUAUGGGUAGCAAACAGGAUUAGAUACCCUGGUAGUCCAUACCGUAAACGAUGAAUGCUAAGUGUUGGAGGGUUUCCGCCCUUCAGUGCUGCAGCUAACGCAUUAAGCAUUCCGCCUGGGGAGUACGGCCGCAAGGCUGAAACUCAAAGGAAUUGACGGGGGCCCGCACAAGCGGUGGAGCAUGUGGUUUAAUUCGAAGCUACGCGAAGAACCUUACCAGGUCUUGACAUACUAUGCAAAUCUAAGAGAUUAGACGUUCCCUUCGGGGACAUGGAUACAGGUGGUGCAUGGUUGUCGUCAGCUCGUGUCGUGAGAUGUUGGGUUAAGUCCCGCAACGAGCGCAACCCUUAUUAUCAGUUGCCAGCAUUAAGUUGGGCACUCUGGUGAGACUGCCGGUGACAAACCGGAGGAAGGUGGGGAUGACGUCAAAUCAUCAUGCCCCUUAUGACCUGGGCUACACACGUGCUACAAUGGAUGGUACAACGAGUUGCGAACUCGCGAGAGUAAGCUAAUCUCUUAAAGCCAUUCUCAGUUCGGAUUGUAGGCUGCAACUCGCCUACAUGAAGUCGGAAUCGCUAGUAAUCGCGGAUCAGCAUGCCGCGGUGAAUACGUUCCCGGGCCUUGUACACACCGCCCGUCACACCAUGAGAGUUUGUAACACCCAAAGUCGGUGGGGUAACCUUUUAGGAACCAGCCGCCUAAGGUGGAA